AGUGAACGCUGGCGGUAGGCCUAACACAUGCAAGUCGAACGGCAGCACAGUAAGAGCUUGCUCUUACGGGUGGCGAGUGGCGGACGGGUGAGGAAUACAUCGGAAUCUACUUUUUCGUGGGGGAUAACGUAGGGAAACUUACGCUAAUACCGCAUACGACCUACGGGUGAAAGCAGGGGAUCUUCGGACCUUGCGCGAUUGAAUGAGCCGAUGUCGGAUUAGCUAGUUGGCGGGGUAAAGGCCCACCAAGGCGACGAUCCGUAGCUGGUCUGAGAGGAUGAUCAGCCACAUUGGAACUGAGACACGGUCCAGACUCCUACGGGAGGCAGCAGUGGGGAAUAUUGGACAAUGGGCGCAAGCCUGAUCCAGCCAUACCGCGUGGGUGAAGAAGGUCUUCGGGUUGUAAAGCCCUUUUGUUGGGAAAGAAAAGCAGCAGGUUAAUACCCCGCUGUUCUGACGGUACCCAAAGAAUAAGCACCGGCUAACUUCGUG
rnacentral:rRNA from 1 species